rnacentral:rRNA from 1 species
CCUACGGGAGGCAGCAGUGAGGAAUAUUGGUCAAUGGGCGAGAGCCUGAACCAGCCAAGUCGCGUGAGGGAGUACUGCCCUAUGGGUUGUAAACCUCUUUUGUCGGGGAGCAAAAGCCGGACGUGUCCGGCUGUGAGAGUACCCGAAGAAAAAGCAUCGGCUAACUCCGUGCCAGCAGCCGCGGUAAUACGGAGGAUGCGAGCGGUAUCCGGAUUUAUUGGGUGUAAAGGGUGCGCAGGCGGGUUUUUAAGUCAGCGGUAAAAUCGUGGGGCUCAACCCCAUCCAGCCGUUGAAACUGGGGAUCUAGAGUGUGCGAGAGGUAUGCGGAAUGCGUGGUGUAGCGGUGAAAUGCAUAGAUAUCACGCAGAACCCCGAUUGCGAAGGCAGCAUACCGGUGCACAACUGACGCUCAGGCACGAAAGCGUGGGUAUCGAACAGGAUUAGAUACCCCUGUAGUC